GUGCGGUGUGAGAGUGCUGUGUGUGAGGGGUGCGGUGUGAGAGUGCCGUGUGUGAGUGAUGGGUGUGAGAGUGCUGUGUGAGAGUGCUCUGUGAGAGAGUGCUGUGAGUGUGAUGGGUGUGAGAGUGCUGUGUGUGUGAAAGUGCUGUGUGUGAUGGUGUGAGAGUGCUGUGUGAGAGAGUGCUCUGUGAGAGUGCUGUGUGUGUGUGAGAGUGCUCUGUGAG